AGUAACCUGCCCCUGACUUCGGGAUAAGCCCGGGAAACUGGGUCUAAUACCGGAUACGACUGCCGGACGCAUGUCUGGUGGUGGAAAGUUUUUUCGGUUGGGGAUGGGCUCGCGGCCUAUCAGUUUGUUGGUGAGGUAAUGGCUCACCAAGACGACGACGGGUAGCCGGCCUGAGAGGGCGACCGGCCACACUGGGACUGAGACACGGCCCAGACUCCUACGGGAGGCAGCAGUGGGGAAUAUUGCACAAUGGGGGAAACCCUGAUGCAGCGACGCAGCGUGCGGGAUGACGGCCUUCGGGUUGUAAACCGCUUUCAGCAGGGAAGAAGCGCAAGUGACGGUACCUGCAGAAGAAGUACCGGCUAACUACGUGCCAGCAGCCGCGGUAAUACGUAGGGUACGAGCGUUGUCCGGAAUUAUUGGGCGUAAAGAGCUCGUAGGUGGUUGGUCACGUCUGCUGUGGAAACGCAACGCUUAACGUUGCGCGUCAGGUGGGUACGGGCUGACUAAAAGUGCAGUAGGGGAGUCUGGAAAUUCCUGGUGUAGCGGUGAAAAUGCGCAGAUAUCAGGAGGAAACACCGGUGGCGAAGGCGGGACUCUGGGGCUGUAACUGACACUGAGGAGCGAAAAGCAUGGGGAGCGAACAGGAUUAGAUACCCUGGUAGUCCAUGCCGUAAACGUUGGGCACUAGGUGUGGGGGGCAUUCCACGUUCUCCGCGCCGUAGCUAACGCAUUAAGUGCCCCGCCUGGGGAGUACGGUCGCAAGGCUAAAACUCAAAGGAAUUGACGGGGGCCCGCACAAGCGGCGGAGCAUGCGGAUUAAUUCGAUGCAACGCGAAGAACCUUACCAAGGCUUGACAUACACCGGACCGUCCUGGAAACAGGUCUUCUUCUUUGAAGCUGGUGUACAGGUGGUGCAUGGUUGUCGUCAGCUCGUGUCGUGAGAUGUUGGGUUAAGUCCCGCAACGAGCGCAACCCUCGUUCUAUGUUGCCAGCACGUGAUGGUGGGAACUCAUAGGAGACUGCCGGGGUCAACUCGGAGGAAGGUGGGGAUGACGUCAAAUCAUCAUGCCCUUUAUGUCUUGGGCUUCACGCAUGCUACAAUGGCUGGUACAGAGAGAGGCGAACCCGUGAGGGCAAGCGAAUCCCUUAAAGCCAGUCUCAGUUCGGAUCGUAGUCUGCAAUUCGACUACGUGAAGUCGGAGUCGCUAGUAAUCGCAGAUCAGCAACGCUGCGGUGA
rnacentral:rRNA from 1 species